AUUGAACGCUGGCGGCAGGCCUAACACAUGCAAGUCGAGCGGAUGAAGGGAGCUUGCUCCUGGAUUCAGCGGCGGACGGGUGAGUAAUGCCUAGGAAUCUGCCUGGUAGUGGGGGAUAACGUCCGGAAACGGGCGCUAAUACCGCAUACGUCCCGAGGGCGAACGUGGGGGAUCUUCGGACCUCACGCUAUCAGAUGAGCCUAGGUCGGAUUAGCUAGUUGGUGGGGUAAAGGCCUACCAAGGCGACGAUCCGUAACUGGUCUGAGAGGAUGAUCAGUCACACUGGAACUGAGACACGGUCCAGACUCCUACGGGAGGCAGCAGUGGGGAAUAUUGGACAAUGGGCGAAAGCCUGAUCCAGCCAUGCCGCGUGUGUGAAGAAGGUCUUCGGAUUGUAAAGCACUUUAAGUUGGGAGGAAGGGCAGUAAGUUAAUACCUUGCUGUUUUGACGUUACCAACAGAAUAAGCACCGGCUAACUUCGUG
rnacentral:rRNA from 1 species